rnacentral:misc_RNA from 1 species
UCUCCUUAGGUUAACCUGCGGCGGGAUCAUUACUGAGUGAGGGCUUCGGUCCGACCUCCAACCCUUUGUGAACCAAACUUGUUGCUUCGGGGGCGACCCUGCCGCUUCGGCGGUGCGGCGCCCCCGGAGGCCAUUAAACACUGCAUCAUUGCGUCGGAGUUAAAGUAAAUUAGACAAAACUUUCAACAACGGAUCUCUUGGUUCCAGCAUCGAUGAAGAACGCAGC